UUUAUGACCAGCUGCAAGGGGAAGCUGGGUCUCCCUAUCACGGGGAGUCUAGGGAAAGGGGGAAAGUCUUCCAGCCUGUGAACUUUAACCAGAUUCCUACUUGUGCAAGAAGCAGAAGCACAAUUUGAAGUUAAUAGAAGCUUUCUCAUGGAGAACUUUAUUCCGUCCCUGAGCUCUUCUAGCAAGUUGUUUUGGAGUUGACUACGCAGUGACGACGGAGAUUACCCAGUCAACUAUUUUUGAACGCUGAAAGGGAAAAUCACCUUUAAAUUGAAAAGAUAAUUUUCAGAAGAGAUUUGACUGUAUUUUGUGCUCCUCAGCAUUCAUGCAAAGGUGUUCGCAGAGUACAGAAACGGAUGAGCCAAGGAGCAGCAUAUAGUCCAGAGGGUCAGCCCAUGGGGAGCUUUGUGUUGGAUGGUCAGCAACACAUGGGGAUCCGGCCUGCAGGACCUAUGAGUGGAAUGGGCAUGAAUAUGGGCAUGGAUGGGCAAUGGCACUACAUGUAACCUUCAUCAUGUAAAGCAAUCGCAAAGCAAGGGGGAAGUUUGCAGAGCAUGCCAGGGGACU
rnacentral:lncRNA from 1 species